UAUAUAUUAUAUGUCUAUAUCUAUUUGCGUUUCUGGUCAUGUUUGAUAUUUGAUUUGCUUUCUCGUUCAGGCUUUCCCGCUUUUGCUAAAUUUGCUUCUGAUUAUUGUUGAUAUAUACUAUAUUCAAGACAAAGACUUAUGCUACGUCCCAUUUUCUUCUUUUCUGUUCGCCGCAGGAGAGGGAGAGAAAUCGGGAGGGCCAGCAUCCGAGAAUGAUCCUUGUGAGUGCGUGGGGUCACUGAAAGCACAAUCACUCAAGCUGGAUGAGGCCUUGGAUUCCCUCAUCAGUGCCAUGGAAAGCCUGGAGGAAGCAGCUUCAGCUAACAAGGAUCCGGGACUUCCAAGAGUGUCAUCAACUGCGUUGGCCGUCGUCGAAUCCCUUAAGGGUGACGUAAACAAAACGGUCAGAGCCCUUAGAGGUGUCUGGGUUAGAAUCUGCCGAUACGUUUAUUAUUACUAUUCCGGCUGGGUAUACAGGUGCUACUAUGUGUAUUACUACCGCAAAAAGAGAGAUGUGGACAACGAAAUGGACCUAACAGGAUCCACAGGUAUGGAAACAACAGGGCCAACAAGUAUGGGACCAGAGACCCCAGUAGGUAUGGGACCAGCAGGACCGCCAGGUAUGGGAGGAGGACCACCAGGUAUGGGAGCAGGAGCACCAGGUAUGGGAGCAGAUGGACCACCAGGUAUGGUACCAAUGCCAGCGGGAGAGACGGGUAGCCCUCUUUGCAUGGCGGGCGACAUGGCAGGUAUUCUGGAGGAUAUAGCCGAAGAGAUCAAAAAGGGCACGGCGCUCACCGAGCAAGCUGUCAAUGACGGUACUAUUUCUGCUGACGCUGUCUCAGGUAUUGGGGAAAUUAUUGACGCUUUGGAAGAGCAUAAGAAGACGAAUAAGGACGUUAUAAAAGAACUUGAUGGACUCCCUUGCAAGGAUUAAGCCUCCUUCUGUUUGGUGUUCAUGCUGCAGUUUUCUUUGUUGUCUUCCAACCACCUGCUUUCAUAAUGAUGCAAAACACACUUUUAAGAUUUUCCUCAUUUUUUGUCAAAUGGUUUUGUAUCAGUGAUUCUUGUAGUACUUGAGUGAUGAAUUUUUUAUAACGAAAAAAAAAGUUUUCGUUAAUGAUUAUAACUUUUAAUCUGUAAUCUGCUAAAGUUAUGAAAUUAAUAAUAUGUCCUGUUGUAAAUGAAUGAUCUAAGAUUCUCUGGAAAUUUAUCAUUAUUUAUUUGACAACUUUUGAGAUAUUGAAUCAGACUGAAUAAAUUCAGAUCUAAAUA